GUCUAUGGCCAUGCCACCCUGAACCCUGAACAUGCCCAAUCUUGUCUGAUCUUGGAAGCUAAGCAGGGUUGGGCCUGGUUAAUACAUGGAUGGGAGACCACUUAGGAAUACCAGGCACCGUAGGCA
rnacentral:rRNA from 1 species